GCAGGUUCAUUGAGGUUCCCUGCUCUGAGGACUAUGACGGUCACCGAAGGUUUGAAGGCACCUGCAUUCAUGUGGACAGACUUAUACACAGAUGCACAGGUGACAGAAAUGAAGCUCAACCUUGUCUUUUGCUACAAAUGGAAUCAUUUAAAAUGAUACAUGUGGGGGCGCUGUCGUGAUGCACAAGAACUCAGCUACAUGUGAGAUGGCAGAGGAGUGCUUUGUUGACUGGGUGGACAAGGACAAAGGGCACAUCAUUUUCUCCUUCUGCAGUCAAUAAAAUAAACAUGUUUCUGUUGUAUUG
rnacentral:lncRNA from 1 species